CUGCGCUCGUGGACGCGGGAGGGGACAAGCGAAGGGCGAAGCCACGGCGGCGUCUCUGCCUCCUUCGGCCCCCAAAGCAAACAAAGAUGGAAAUGUGCUGCUGAAGAUCCUGGCUUGUGCAAGAAAUGCAAAACGGAAGUCCUGCUACUUAUUUAAGGCAUCAUGUACCCUGUAUCCCACAGCUUCAGGAAGUCCCGUAAUUUGUCAGCAUGUGUUGAUAGAUGGAACAUACAUACUCCGUCC